rnacentral:lncRNA from 1 species
CUCCCCAUGAUAGCCUGAGUCAGCCUGAAGUGAUCCAUCUUACCUGCACACCCGAAACAUCCAUCAUGAUAGCAAAAGCAGUGUUAUGAUCACAAUCACAGGUAACAUUUUCCACACUCGAUUCAGCUUCAUUCAAUGUACAUCCUUUACUGCUCCAUAUACUAUCGUUUUUGUCAGGCUCAAAAAACGCACACGUUCGUCUUGGGUCUUCAUAACCAGUCU